rnacentral:pre_miRNA from 1 species
CAAUCCCCCGUGUCUCUCGUGUCCUCCUGUGUCUACGGGUAUAAGUUGGAAGAGACACAGGGAGACACAGAGACACUGGUAGACAC